GGCUUCCCCCGGGGUCUGGGUACAGGUGCUUACCUUGACCUCUGAGCACAAGCUCAGACCUCCAAGCACAUCAACCUGACAACUGUAAGCAUUUUCAUUCAAGACUUCCUACGGAAGUCUGGUCCCUAGAGGUCAACAUUUCCCAUGAGUACUCCGAUUCAGGGACACGAUCCUCUUAGGGCCUCUCCCGGGGGCGGGGUUGAAAAGCAGACUCCAUGCACUACCCCAGUCAGCCGGCUUUAGUUCCGAGGCCCCUCCCCCGUCCCUGAGGCUUGGCCUUGGCUGGAGAAGGGCGUCUGUGCUCAAAGUCCCACACCUGACCUAUGGCCCUGGAGGAAGCUUAUGUGUUUGACCUUGUAUCUGAAGCACCAUGGAGCUUUGCAGUUUCUACUCUGCAUGCCUGUGGAGUGCAUCAUCGGCUGACUUCACCUCCGUGAACACCACUUCACACGCAUUAGAGACGAAUUUUAUCAUCUGUGCGGGAUCAGGGCUGCUAAAGAACUAAAGAAGAAAACACUGAAGCUAUUUUGGGUAGCAUCUUUUGGUUUGGUUUGAUUUGGGUUUUUUGACUCAAAUAAUUUUUUAGCUCCCUAAGGUUUACCAGCUUCGUUUGGCUGUCUGGUCGGAGGCGUUUGCCAUUGGAAAAGCAUUUUUACUGUUAGAAGGUUGGGUCCAGGAAUGUCCUCGAUGAGAGCAGCAUGACUUAGGAUGGAGUCUUUACUGAUUACUCACCCUCGCAACUCAAAUCUCUCAGGAGAGGCAUCUGACUUGGGGCUGGAAAAUAUCCUAGGAAGACGAUUCUGGGCUGUGCUCAAGCUGCUUUCAGGACUCAGGAGGCCCUUAUCAGCUUCUGGAGCUUUAAAUAAAGGCCCACUGGGCUUGAGGCUUGAAGUGUCAUGAAGAAAGGCCUUCCACUGUUAUCCUAAAGAGAGUUCAUUUAUAUCUUCAGGGAGAUCCAAGCUGAAAGAGGGGCGGGUGAUGAAAGUUUGAAGGGAGACACAGCAGAGCUGACGACGUGGCCAACAACACGAGGGGAGAGCGUGGCUGGGAGGCGGCCCUGAGCCCAAGCGCGGUUCCCAUCAAGUCGCAGCCUCCCAAGCUGCGAGGGCCAUGCUUACGGCUUGCCACUUGGGCCCCAAAUGGUGUCUAGUUGCCUUUCUGUCACCUGACUUUGAGUCACUUUUCUGUUCUUUAUCAGCCUUCUCCAGAGUACUGAAUGGGCAGAUAAAAGAGGGAAUGUAAAUUGCUCAAUCGUGGUAUUUUAAUUGCGAGGUUUAGGGGAAAUAUCUAGGUUAUUUAUGAAGUUCGAUCUUCUGUGUCGUUCACCCCCUCAGAAUCGUGAAAGUUUUGCUGGGCUGGGUGAUUACAGAACUGAAGAAUGAUGAGAGCAGAAAGAUAUCUGGAGCCCGGCGAACCCAGCUCCUGCAUUUGAAAAAGAUUUAGGGAUCCUCUUGCCACGUUGCAUGGCAUCCGUCUGUUCCUUGCGCUAGACUGGGAUCCACCUGAUCACAUGUGACGCCUGUUUCUUCGGAGCCUGGCACUGUGCCUGGCACGUGGAAGACAGAGGAUGAGCUGAGGAGGCGCAGAGAGAGAAGGAGACACAG